rnacentral:rRNA from 1 species
UGGGGAAUUUUGGACAAUGGGCGAAAGCCUGAUCCAGCAAUGCCGCGUGUGUGAAGAAGGCCUUCGGGUUGUAAAGCACUUUUGUCCGGAAAGAAAUCCUUGGCUCUAAUACAGUCGGGGGAUGACGGUACCGGAAGAAUAAGCACCGGCUAACUACGUGCCAGCAGCCGCGGUAAUACGUAGGGUGCAAGCGUUAAUCGGAAUUACUGGGCGUAAAGCGUGCGCAGGCGGUUUGCUAAGACCGAUGUGAAAUCCCCGGGCUCAACCUGGGAACUGCAUUGGUGACUGGCAGGCUAGAGUAUGGCAGAGGGGGGUAGAAUUCCACGUGUAGCAGUGAAAUGCGUAGAGAUGUGGAGGAAUACCGAUGGCGAAGGCAGCCCCCUGGGCCAAAUACUGACGCUCAUGCACGAAAAGCGUGGGGGACGCAAACAGGAUUAGAUACCCUGGUAGUCCACGCCCUAAACGAUGUCAACUAGUUGUUGGGGAUUCAUUUCCUUAGUAACGUAGCUAACGCGUGAAGUUGACCGCCUGGGGAGUACGGUCGCAAGAUUAAAACUUAAAUGAAUUGACGGGGUCAUAGCUGUUUCCU